AUUGAACGCUGGCGGAAUGCUUUACACAUGCAAGUCGAACGGCAGCACGGGUGCUUGCACCUGGUGGCGAGUGGCGAACGGGUGAGUAAUACAUCGGAACGUACCCAGUUGUGGGGGAUAACGAGUCGAAAGAUUCGCUAAUACCGGAUACGAACUGAGGGUGAAAGAGGGGGACCGUAAGGCCUAGCGCAAUGGGAGCGGCCGGUGUUUGAUUAGCUAGUUGGUGAGGUAAAGGCUCACCAAGGCGACGAUAAGUAGCUGGUCUGAGAGGAUGAUCAGCCACACUGGGACUGAGACACGGUCCAGACUCCUACGGGAGGCAGCAGUGGGGAAUUUUGGACAAUGGGGGAAACCCUGAUCCAGCCAUUCCGCGUGAGUGAAGAAGGCCUUCGGGUUGUAAAGCUCUUUCGUCAGGGAAGAUACGCUCUGGCUUAAUACGCCGGGGUAAUGACGGUACCUGAAGAAGAAGCACCGGCUAACUACGUGCCAGCCGCCGCAGUAA
rnacentral:rRNA from 1 species